UCAAAACCACAAUGCUGUAGAAUCAUCACCACAAUAGUCUAAAAUCAAAUCCCCAAUACUCUAAAAGAAUUCAAAACCACAAUAGACCAACAUCAAAACCAAAGUACUCUAAAAGCAAGACAAUAAUACUCUAAAAUCAAAACCAUAUUAGUCUUAAAUAUUUCAGAUUAAGCAACAUACUUCAGUGGAGAUGAAUUCCGAUUGGAAAAGUUUAUAUAAAAUAUCGAAAUAAGACAGACUAUGAGAGGUUCUAAGCCUUGAUACUCUAAAAUCAAAACCAUUAUACUCUUAAAUAUUUCAGAUUAAGCAACAUACUUCAGUGGAGGUAAAUUCCGAUUGGCAAAGUUCAUAUAGAAAAUUGAAAUGAAAGAUGCAUAUGAGAGUUUCAUGGAAGUGAAUACGCGCGCAUCAUAUGCAUCACGUGGAAAAAGAACCAGCAAAACUCGACAAUCAACACAGCAAACACUCCAAAAUCAAAACCAUGGUACUCUAAAAUCAAAA